GCAUGCAUCAUGAUCAUCAGCAGGUGCUACUCAACACUUACACAGCCCAGGAUAGCUAUCAAAUUGGUAGGGCCCAAGAGGUGGAUCUGGGAGUGAAGGAAGAGGUUUGAGUUAUAUGGGGAAUACAUGAAGGAAAAAUAAGACUUGUGGAAGGGUACGGGAAGUGCCGUGGUGGAGGUUUGGAUUACCAGAAAAUGAGUCAUUUGCAAUAUUUUCCAAAUUCAGGCACUCAUCUUGCAAUCACAUUUGCACAGAUGGACUCCUGCAUCCAGAUCAAGCCCACAUAUGCCAAAGAGGCUCCACACAAUGAAGGCAUCAGCUCAAGGAAAUCCAAUUGCAAGAGCAAGACCUUAAUUCCAUUUAGUUCUGUCUCUUCCUAAUGAGAGCUGUCAAUUACUUAUAGUAAUUAGGUGGCAAUAGAUGUUAAUAGGAUGAGAUUUCAAAUAAGCAACUUCAAAAUUAUAUGAAUAAAUCAUACAAAUUUCUUUGCUUGUCUUUUACCAUAUGUCCUCCUUCAACACCAUGUAAUUUGUUUUGCAUGUCUUAAAAAAGGCAUAUAAUGUACAGGUAUUGUAUUUGACUUUGAAAACUUUAAGGGUGAUGCAUCAGAUUUUCAAAUAUUGUCACAAAACAGAGAAUUUACUUAAUACUAGAAUUGGAUUUGAAAGUCAAGUUACAUAUUUACAAAAAAAAUGCUCCAUUUUCUUUAUUUAUUCAUUUAUUUAUUAAUUAAUUAAUUUAUUUUCUGCUGACAGUGUUCUCUUCUGAAACACAACUUUAUUCACUAAAUUAAUCUUGAUAUGUAUGUCAGAGGGAAUGAGACUGUAAUGCUUAUUUUGGUUAUAAGGGUAUGAUUCACCACUAUAUUUCUCAUAUUUAAUGUUGGUGCCAUUUAUUAAUAUUGGCAGCGGGUAUCUAUCAUUUAUUAAUAUCUGUAGGGGGUAUCUAUCAUUUCCUCAUAAAAGAGCUAGCAUACAAAUACUUGGGGUUAAGAUACAGAUUUUUAUCCAUCUUCCUGAAUUUAAUGCAACCUUAUGCAAACAAUAUAUAACACUAAGCCUCUUAGUAUGCCAGACACUUGUUGUCUUCUGUGAAGAAAACAAACUUAAAUUAAGCAGAAAUGCUUUCACACCACAGAGUGCUCAGUAGCUGAAUCAGGUCAGCAUUAGACAAUUGCAGGUUCCAAUAUUUUAAUUAGAGUCUUUGCAGAGAGAACUGUUAAAUAACUGCACAUAUCUAUUCAUUUUUCCAAAUAGAGGCAAUAACUGGUAACUAUUGACAUUAUGUACAAACACUGUUCUUCCAAGAAUAGCCCAGUGUCAUUAGCUCUCAGUAGAUUGGCUGUUCUUUUAUGAACUCUCAAGUGGCUUUUUGUCUGUAUGCAUUUACAGAUAAAGCCACUGUAACUGAGCACAGCCGAUGACUCAUCUCACUGAGUUCCGUACAUCUGUUCCAAAACAGUUCAUUGUUUUGUUGAAAAAAGAACACACUUCUAUUUUUAAGAAAGUCUGGGUUCACAACAUUAUUAUUAAGAAAAAGCUCAGGCAGACAUCUUAUAAUCUUAGCCUGUGACGUGAAACUCCUGCUUCAGUCUAACAGCAGUACUCAGUCUAAAAAUGCCUUUUCAACAUUGUUUUUCUAUCUGUUGACUUUUCUUUCUCUUACCUAAAUGCAGAAUUCAAAACACUUUCCUCUCUAAAUCACAUUUUAGUUCCAGGGAUUGGGGAUGAUUCAAAAGUAAUUGGAAGCAGAAUGCAGCUGGAGUGCUCAUCUAGUUCAUGUAUAAUAUGGACCUUUAUUACUUGUGCCCAUUCCUGAUCAUUUGAAAUGCAAUAUUUCAGCAAGCUAUUUAGCUCAUACUUCUUUAAACAGCCAAGGAUACAUGCUGCUAAAAGGCCAGGAGUCUAAACUUUUAUGUAAAAAUAGACAACAGUGUAUUUCUGCACUAUUGAAGAUUAUGGAAGAAUAAUAAAAAUGUAUAUACUUGAGCCAAAUCUUGUACUAUAUCUUAAAAAUAUUGAUUACCAUGGAUAAUAUCUAUAGAUAUUGGUGUAUUAUAACAGAAUACUUUAACUUGCAGCGCAGAUGUGUAAACUUAAGUUUUCAA